rnacentral:lncRNA from 1 species
CUUAACCUUACUUUUACAAGUGAUUAGGAUUAUUAUUAUUUUAUUUACAUGUAAAUUGAAACAAUAAAUAUUGUGCUGUGUCAUAAUUUCAAACUCAUUAUGUUGCAGUCUUUUCCAGUUGAUAAAAUUGCAAUUCAAAAACUUUAGAUUUGCACUGUAUGGAUGAUGGCACAGGAAGAGAACAAGAGUACAAGAACAUGAAACAUCUUAUUAUGAAUGUAUAUGUAUGUGAUCCUCAAAAAAUUAUUUUACAAAACAAGAUAGAGAAAGAGCUUUAAAAUCCCAAGGAUCCUGCAAUUUUUAUUUGGUGUACUAGUCGAAUAAUAGUAUCUAAAAAUAUUGAAACUAUUUUAAAACAUAUUACGGACACGAGGAUGAUAUAGAGCACUUACAUAAAUACCAAAAUCAGAUAAAUAUCUCUUCAAAGUUUAUUUUGAGACUUUCUUCAAAAAUGUAAGUAAAAUAUUUGCAUAUCGAUGGCGGAAAAGUAGUAACUGAAAAAAUUUUAUAACAUGAGUUACUUCAGUUUUCGCUUUAGAAUAAGUGUAUCGGCAGCUAUUAAACAGCGAUUACAGCUGGGAAAGUUUCCGGAAGGCUUCCAAAAGGCUUUCCCAGCUCUAAAAGCUGUUUAAUAGGUGCUGAUACACUUAUUAUAAAGCGAAAACCGAAGUAACUCAUUUUAUACAAAUUUUUCAGUUAUGAGGUCCUGCCUUUCCGCCGUCGAUAUACACAAUAUAAUUUAAAACAAGAAUGUUACCACUAAACCACUUUUUUAAAUAUUACUCAUGAAUAUUUAGUACAGUUUACAAAUUCAAACUAGUGUGUUUGAUUCUCCUAUACCUAUAUUUUACUUUUUUAGUAAACUUCAGACUGUUCAGGAUAGCAUAAUAGCAUAGGAGGCGAAUUAAAAAGAAUUAACUUACUUACAAGAAAAGAUAUCACAAACAUUAGACUCUCUUAUGGCAUUGAUUUGAAAGAUGGGUAUAUGUACAAUGACGAUGCAACCAGUGUUUAUUUUUGGGUUGAAUGCUUACAGACUCAUGUCCAAUAUUAUUUUACAAACAACAGGGCAUACUAAUGGAUAUUCAUUCUGAAUUUAACAUUUAUGAUUUUUGUCUUAUUUUCCUUAAUACUGUGCCAAAAGGAAAUGUUAAUUAAGUUUGGUAAAUCCUUUAUCGCAAUCGAUGGAACUCAUGGGCUCAAUUCCUAUGACUUUGAACUUAUGACAGUAUUAGUAAAAGAUGAAUUUGGGAAUGGAUUUUGUACUGCUUUCUUAUUUUCAAAUAGAAAAGAUACCUACUUUAAUUUACCAAUUUUUUUAAAUACAUGUCUGUGUUGGUAUUAUAUGUAUAGUCAAAUGUUUUCAUAUCGGGCAUAAGUGACACCUUUUACAAUGCCUCGUCAAAUGUAAUGGGUAUUGCUCCUAAUAGACUGUUAAGUGCCUGGCACAUAAAUAGGGCAUGGUAAGUAAAUCUUGAAUAAAAUAUCUGAUUCUGAAAAAAAUCCUAUUAUGUAUACAAGAUGUAUUAAUGAUGGUUUAGAGAGUAUUAAUAGCUUUUUGGGUAGACUUCUAAGUGAUGCAAAUACAUACAAUUUUAGUAAGUAUUUCCAGUAGAACUACUGCAAUAACAUCCAACAAUGGGCGUAUUGUUAUAGGAAGGGGUUGUGGAAUUAAUACCAAUAUGACCAUUCAAAAUUUUCAUAAAAUUUUGGAUAAAAGGGUAUCCAUUAGUUGUUAUCAGUUAAGUUUAAAACUUGGCACUCAUGGAGAGCUAUACCAUAAUAUAUAAUAGGUAUAUCUCAUAAUAUUACAUCUCAUAUUGCUCACUCAUUACAAUAGUGAGCAAUAUGAGAUAUAACAUAUUAUAGUAUAAGUCUCUGUGCAUGACCAGAUUAACAUGUUUGGUGCCCAUCUCGAACAAGCUCCACUUGGCUGGUACCACAUACUUAAAUCAUUUAUUUAGUUACACAGUACUACUCACAUAACUUAUGUGUCGUCAGUACCUUCCGUAAAACCUUCGUGAUGCUACCCAUACGUCAUGGCCACUGAAUGUGUUAAAGCUUGUUAAUGUAGGAGAGUUAUACUAAAAUAUAUAUCUUAUAUUAUAUUGCCUUAAAUAGAAAAAAUAUCUUAUUUAAAUUGUAUCCAUGUAAGUUUUGAUUUAAUGAAAUAAACCUUUUAAUCAAAAAAGUGUUGUUUACUUGUGUACACCCAGCAAUAUCCUGAUCAUAGAUAAAUAAUAAUAUAGUAUUACCGGAUCCUGAUAUGCAGACGCCAAUAGGGCUUUUCAUUGAUUGUCAUUUGUUUCGAGCUUCUGUCAUGAGUCACAUAAUAUUAAUGUAUCU